UACGAACUGUGCGAACGUUAUUCGGAAUCACUGGGCUUACAGGGUGCGUAGGCGGCUUGUUAAGUAGGGUGUGAAAGCCCCCGGCUCAACCGGGGAAUGGCGCCCUAAACUAGCGAGCUGGAGUGAGAUAGGGGUGUGUGGAACUUCCGGUGGAGCGGUGAAAUGUGUUGAUAUCGGAAGGAACGCCGGUGGCGAAAGCGACACACUGGAUCUUGUCUGACGCUGAGGCACGAAAGCCAGGGGAGCGAAC
rnacentral:rRNA from 1 species